rfam:Dipodomys ordii contig_26292, whole genome shotgun sequence.
UGGCUCAGUGGUAGAGCGCUUGCCUUGCAUGCAUGAGGCUCUGGGUUCAAUUCCUCAG